UUAAGCACAAACUCGCCCUAGACCAAUAAGUGGACACCCUUAAACAUGCGUGUUUGUUUUUGGAAAAAAAAACACGUGGCGGAAGACUAUUUGUAGAGGAAUGAACUGGAUAAUCAGGCGUACAGACUACAAAGAAGAGAAUUUUAAUUUUUAAGAGAGGCCGGAACUAAAAAAAAAAUUAAAUCCCGUUAAAUGGGGAAUUAUGGAAUCUGAGCCCUGGCCCCCCCUUUGGUAUAAAACUAAAACCAAACGCUAACCACAUACCACACCACACCCUUCAAACCAAAGAAACACAAAAAUAAGAAACAACAAUUGCUCUCCUCUCUCUUGCCCUGCCUCACAGAAACAGAGUCUGAGACAAAGGAAAAAAGCAAGUGGUCGAGAUCCGGCGAGCUGCUUCGUCGGGUUUCGCCCAUUUUCAACGUCGGAGCUCCGAGAGUUUGUUCAUAGCAGUGUCACUGUGCGCAUAUAAACAGCAACAGCAAAAGCAAAAGCAAAAUGAAGGGUUCCUGCACUCUCGUGGCAUCAGUACUCGCCGCAUCCACCGUGGCUCUUGGCUCCUCUUCUUCCUCUGCGGGAGAUCGUGACCAUUCAUUUCAUCCUUGCUCCAACGAGGGUCUCUCUUCGCCUACUUCGAAAUCUUAUGCCAAAAACUCGCAUACGACGGCGGAAAAGGAGAAAUUUGCGCCAAGAUUCGAUGGCCUAAGAUUCAUUGAGACCUUGGUCACAGCCCACAGAUGAACUCAAAGCCUCAAAGACCCUCCCUUUUUUGUCUCCGAUUUUUGCUGCGAAAGGUUCUGCAAUAUGUGAUUGGAAGAGCAAUUUUAAUUUUACCCCCAUUCUCCAUGUGAGUUUGUGUUUUUCUUUUUCCUUUUUCGGUUAAUUGAUGGUGUAAUGCGGUUGAACUCUAAAAGCGUGACAGCCACCGUAUUUGUCAAUGUCCUCUUGUUUUGUACGAAUUUUAUGUGGCCUGGACCUGCUGUAUCUUACUAAUUUAGCCUCCAAAAAUGUUUUUUAUUAUUAUAUGAGCAAGAGCAAUAUACAUGUGCAAUGGCCUGAAUUGGUUCUA